UGCUCAGGUGUUGCCAAAAUCACAGCAAUACUCACUUAACUUGUGUGAUUGCAAACAGUGACUCCCAGCUAACUGCAGAGAGUGUGGCUUCCUCCAGGAGACUCAGACUCACCCUCUCAGCGAUUCACCAGCCCUGUAGACACCUCCUUCGUGCCAGGCUCUGUGCCACUGCUGAGUCCUCAAGGACAGGUGAUGCUAACCUUGUUUCUAGCACCAGUUUGUCUUAGUUAAUCUUCAUAACCUCCUCACUACUCUAGGAGGCAGCACAGGCCCAGCUCGGCCGCUCCCCCGCUGUCAGAGCUGGCUCCUGCUCGGCCCUUCUCAGCUCGUGGCUUCUGGCUCAUGCUUCAAGACGGCUGCUCAAGCUCUAAUCUGUUCUCCAGCAUAAGCAGACAGAACACAAAUACACAAACAUAUUGGAGGACUCGAAGAUUGUCUGCAUCGGAGAGGAAGGAGUCAGAAGCCUGAGUCCUGGUUCCCACCUCACCUCCAGCUGGCUAGGUGACCAGGAUUGCUGUCAGCUCCUCCCGAGUCUGGCUCCACGCCGCCCCUGCCAGGGUCUUUGUGUUCCAAGCUCGCCUCUCUGCUAGCAGGGGAGGACUGUGCUGGGAGGAUUUGGGGCACGAAGGAGCCCAGGUUGAAUGUCAAAGCUUAGAGAUCACAGGAACCUGAGCCCUCGGACAGAAUGGUCUUACCCACAGCGAUCCAGGCCAGAGGGGCAGAGCAAAAAGUAGACCGGGGUCUCCUGACUUCCCAGCCAGGACACUUCCCAUGACAUCCUGACGUGUGCCCAGAGGCGGCCUGGCGCUCCCUGCAUGUGCCCGGGGAACAGCCAGCUCCCCACCUCACGCCUGCGCCAUCACUGGGCAUUCGGGUUGUUUCUCCUUUGAUUGUUUAUGAUUGAAGAUGACAUGGCUGUAAACAUCUAACAUCUGAGUUUAAAUGGCUUCUUUUGGAUUGUUUUUCCUCAGGCUAAUGUCCUCAGAGUAGAAUUACUGGGUCAAGAAGUACAGACAGUGUUGUAGCUGGAAGUGAGCUAGAUGUAGCAACUCUCCCACAGAAGGGAACCUCUUAUUUGCCAGAAACCGUAAGAUGUCUGGCGAUGGUGUUGGAAGCAGGUCAGGGAGUGGAAAGAGGGCCCGGGGCUGAAUCUUCAAGCGGGCAGUGGGAGACAGCUGUGGCUGAGAUAAGGGCGUUCGGGCCCAGGAGUGCAAUGCCUGUCAACCGCUGGUAAUUUCCCCAAGAAAUGGUGUUUGGACUAGUGCCUCACAAACAUUUCUGUGCAUAGGAAUGCCCUGAGGGUCUCUUUAAUACGCAGAGUCUGAUUCUGGGGUAGCGCCUGGGGCCGAGCCCAAGAGUCUGCAUUUUUAAUAAGCUCCAGGUGGUGCUGAUCCUGCCAAUCAACGGACCACACUUUGCAGCGGCAGGAGUUUAGGUUACUCUGAUUUUGUUCUUGCUAUUCCUCUGCCUAACCCACCAUUCCCACCAUUUUCAGACCUGGCUCCCAAGACUUACCUGGAUUGACCUCACCAGGCUGGGUUAGGA
rnacentral:lncRNA from 1 species